UACGGAGGGUGCAAGCGUUGCUCGGAAUUAUUGGGCGUAAAGGGUAGGUAGGUGGUCUCGUUUGUCUGGGGUGAAAGCCUUGAGCUUAACUCAAGAAGUGCCCCAGAAACGGCGAGACUAGAGUCCUGGAGAGGGUCGGUGGAAUCCCGGUGUAGCGGUGAAAUGCGUAGAGAUCGGGAGGAACACCAGAGGCGAAGGCGGCGACCUGGACAGGUACUGACACUCAACUACGAAAGCGCGGGGGAGCAAACAGG
rnacentral:rRNA from 1 species